rnacentral:rRNA from 1 species
GCCUAGGAAUCUGCCUGGUAGUGGGGGAUAACGUCCGGAAACGGACGCUAAUACCGCAUACGUCCUACGGGAGAAAGCAGGGGACCUUCGGGCCUUGCGCUAUCAGAUGAGCCUAGGUCGGAUUAGCUAGUUGGUGGGGUAAUGGCUCACCAAGGCGACGAUCCGUAACUGGUCUGAGAGGAUGAUCAGUCACACUGGAACUGAGACACGGUCCAGACUCCUACGGGAGGCAGCAGUGGGGAAUAUUGGACAAUGGGCGAAAGCCUGAUCCAGCCAUGCCGCGUGUGUGAAGAAGGUCUUCGGAUUGUAAAGCACUUUAAGUUGGGAGGAAGGGCAGUAAAUUAAUACUUUGCUGUUUUGACGUUACCGACAGAAUAAGCACCGGCUAACUCUGUGCCAGCAGCCGCGGUAAUACAGAGGGUGCAAGCGUUAAUCGGAAUUACUGGGCGUAAAGCGCGCGUAGGUGGUUCGUUAAGUUGGAUGUGAAAUCCCCGGGCUCAACCUGGGAACUGCAUUCAAAACUGACGAGCUAGAGUAUGGUAGAGGGUGGUGGAAUUUCCUG